UGCGUAGGCGGAAUGAUAAGUCAGUGGUGAAAUCCUACAGCUUAACUGUAGAACUGCCAUUGAUACUGUUGUUCUUGAGUACAUUUGAAGUGGGCGGAAUGUGUCAUGUAGCGGUGAAAUGCAUAGAGAUGACACAGAACACCGAUCGCGAAGGCAGCUCACUAAACUGUAACUGACGCUGAGGCACGAAAGCGUGGGGAGCAAACAGGAUUAGAUACCCUGGUAGUC
rnacentral:rRNA from 1 species